CCUACGGGAGGCAGCAGUGGGGAAUUUUGCACAAUGGGGGAAACCCUGAUGCAGCGACGCCGCGUGAGUGAAGAAGGCUUUCGGUAUGUAAAGCUCUAUUAGCAGGGAAGAAGAAAGACGGUAGCUGACGAAUAAGCCCUGGCUAACCACGUGCCAGCAGCCGCGGUAAUACGCAGGGGGCAAGCGUUAGCCGGACUUACUGGGUGUAAAGGGAGCGUAGACGGCUGUGCAAGUCUGGAGUGAAAGGCUAGGGCUCAACCCUGGGACUGCUUUGGAAACUGUGGAACUGGAGAGCUGGAGAGGGAGGUGGAAUUCCAAGUGUAGCGGUAAAAUGCGUAGAUAUUAGGAGGAACACCAGUGGCGAAGGCGGCUGACUGGACAGUUGCUGACGUUGAGGCACGAAAGCGUGGGGAGCAAACAGGAUUAGAUACCCGGGUAGUC
rnacentral:rRNA from 1 species